AUUGAACGCUGGCGGCAGGCCUAACACAUGCAAGUCGAGCGAGCGGCGGACGGGUGAGUAAUGUAUGGGGACUGCCCGUUAGAGGGGGAUAACUACUGGAAACGGUGGCUAAUACCCCAUACUGUCGGAUAACCCAUAUGGGCGUAGCUAGUAGGUAAGGUAAUGGCUUACCUAGGCGACGAUCCCUAGCUGGUCUGAGAGGAUGAUCAGCCACAAUGGAACUGAGACACGGCCCAGACUCCUACGGAGGCAGCAGUGGUGAAUAUUGAACAAUGGGCGCAAGCCUGAUGCAGCCAUGCCGCUUGUAGGAAGAAGGCCCUAGGGUUGUAAAGUACUUUCAGUCGGGAGGCGUUACCGACAGAAGAAGCACCGGCUAACUCCGUGCCAGCAGCCGCGGUAAUUC
rnacentral:rRNA from 1 species